rnacentral:rRNA from 1 species
UACGUAGGCAGCAAGCGUUGUUCGGAAUUACUGGGCGUAAAGAGUGUGUAGGCGGUGCUCUAAGUUUGGUGUGAAAUCUCCCGGCUCAACCGGGAGGCUGCAUCGAAUACUGGAAUGCUAGAGGGUGGGAGAGGUAAGCGGAAUUCCUGGUGUAGCGGUGAAAUGCGUAGAUAUCAGGAGGAACACCUGUGGUGUAGACAGCUUACUGGACCACUUCUGACGCUGAGACACGAAAGCGUGGGUAGCAAACAGGAUUAGAUACCCUGGUAGUCCACGCCCUAAACGAUGCAUACUUGGUGUGGGCCAUUCAUUUGGUCUGUGCCGGAGCUAACGCGUUAAGUAUGCCGCCUGGGGAGUACGGUCGCAAGGCUGAA